UCCGGUUUUUUCCGUGGUGAUA
rnacentral:miRNA from 1 species